CCUCGUAAAUGUGGGUUGUCCUCUUAAAACAUUAUAAUUUAUAUUGGAUGAAUAACUUAGUAAAAUCCUACCUGAUACAUAAUUAAUCAUCAAUAAUUAAAAUUGUUCAAAUAUAUGUUUGAUUAAUGAGUGUUUUCAUAUUCUGAGCACAGCAAUGAAUUUAAAUCACCAGUUUUAUUACCUAUAUCAGGAACUUGCACAGAAAAAAAUUUCAAGGGGUGUUUUUAAAAAUAAAUUAUUGAAAAUUAGAAUACUAAUAUAACAUUAAAAUGGAAUUAAACAAAUGGAACUAAACAAAAAAAAACCAAGAUUUCAGGAAGUGUUUGAAUACCCAAAUACUCCCCUGCGUGCGUACCUGACUCAUGGUGGAUGUUUCUUAGUUUCUUCUGUAAACAACUACCAGCAAUCUUCUACAAGUCAUCGAUUUAAAAAUUUCAAAGAUGGUUUCUGGUAGACAGUUUUGUUUAAUUGGUGCAUUUAGGAAGAUCAUUUUAUCCCACUUUAAUGCUUUUAUUUAAAAAAUGGCAUCGAAAAACAAAAAAAAAGGACAUGUUUAAAAUAUAACCUAGACAAUUUGAUCUUUCAGAAAAUGUGCUAAGUAAAAAUCGGAGCAAGUUUACUAAAAAAAUAACGUGUCCACAGACUAGAAGAAAUAUGAAAAAAAUAAACAUCUUGGUUAAAUCAAUAGCUCCCUUGCUUCGCUCAGAAUCUAAAUUAAUGGUAGGAUUUUACAGCACCAAUAAGUACUGAAAUAUAACAUUUUUUUAGUGCCAUUGACCUAUUUAUUUUACCGGAGAUCUAAAAUUUCAAAGUUUGAACAGAAAUUUCUUUCAAAUGGUGAUAAAUUGCGUUUUGCACCGUGUCUAUUUAAAAGUUUCAUUAAUAUAAAAAAAAGACUGGCAUACAUAGCAUGAUGGGUAGACCACUGUUGUUGGUAAAAAAUUGGGAAGGUAAGAUAAAAAGGGGAAUUAAAUGUAUAUUUGUACGACUGCAGUAACGCAACAAUUUAUCUUAGCUAACGAAAAACGAUUCUGAGCGGACUUAUUCUAAUGGGCAGUAGGACCCAAAUUGGGUAGAAGGAUUAAUAUCAAAAAUUCAGUUGACUUCAUGAAUGUGGGCACUUUAAAAAAAAUAUCAUUUUUCUUAUCGUUUAAGGGUGAUUGAAUUCCUAUUCGGUAAUCUCUAGGUAUUUGUGUAAUUUAUAGUUUAUAAAUCUAUUUUGUAUCAAUCUUUUUGGCGUCCAGUAGCUAAAAUUAAAC